CCCUUUUUGGGGUGCCCUCAUUGGGGUCACCACUUUGCACGCUUAUGGUGAAGGACUCACGCAUUGCACGGCACACGUGUGCAACGCGGGUGUGAAAUGAAGGUCUUGUGCAGGGCACUUGUGCAACGAGGCACUUGUGCAACGCACGGGGCCGUGCAAGGAAGCACUUGUGCAAUGCACGAUGCUGCUUUGCACGGAGGCUCUUGUGCAUUGCACGGCGCUGCAUGCUGCAUACGGACGUGCAACAACACGCUUGUGCAACACGUAGCGCCGUGCAACGCACACUCAUUUGCACUGCGUGCUUUGCACGGCGGCCCUCUUUGCACGGCAGCCCCCGUGCAAUGCACGCUGGAGGACUUUUGCAGCGUGCAAUGGUGUGCAAUGCAGCAGCUGUUGCACGGCAGCCCUCGUGCAAGGCAUGGGGUGGGGGUGUGCAACGCCCCUCCGUGUGCAACAUCCCCUCGUGCAACGCCGUGUGGCCAUCGUGAGCUCCGGGUGGGCGUGCAAGAGGUGGACGUGGAAGGAAGCCCGGAUCCUCGUGCGACGGCGUCCCCUUGUGCAACGAACGGUGGCUCCAGUGCAAUGGUGGCCUCGUGCAACGAUGGUCCUUGUGCAACACCAGAUCUUGUGCGACGUGGGAGCUCGUGCAACACCUGACCUCGUGCACAUGGGGCCUCGUGCAACAUGGAGCCUUGUGCAACGCCAGAUCUUGUGCAACAUGGGGCCUCAUGCAUCAGUGGUCCUUGUGCAACACGGGGCCUCGUGCAACAUGGAGCCUCGUGCAACGUGGGGCCUUGUGCAAUGCUGGUCUCUGGGCAACAUGGGGCCUCGUGCAACGCCAGUACUUGUGCAACAUGGGGCCUUGUGCCACAUGGAGCCUCGUGCAACGACAGAUCUUGAGCGACGUGGGGCCUCGUGCAACAGCAGAUCACAUGCAACGCAGGGCCUCGUGCAGCACCGGUCCUUGUGCAACGCAGAGUCACGUGCAACGCCAGAUCUCGUGCAACAGGGAGCCUCAUGCAUCACCGUUCCUAGUGCAACACGGGGCCUCGUGCAACAACAGAUCUUGAGCGACAUGGGGCCUCGUGCAACACCAGAUCUCGUGCAACAGGGAGCCUCCUGCAUCACCAUUCCUAGUGCAACACGGGGCUUCGUGCAACAUGGAGCCUCGUGCAAUGCUGGUCUUUGUGCAACGCGCGGCCUCGUGCAACAUAGGGCCUCGUGCAACAACAGAUCUUGAGCGACAUGGGGCCUCAUGCAACACCAGAUCUCGUGCAACGUGGGCCUUGUGCAACACCGGUCCUUGUGCAAGGCACGACCUUGUGCAGCACCAAACCUCGUGCAACAUGGAGCCUCGUGCAACACCAGACGUUGUGCAUCGCUGGGCCUCGUGCAACACCAGACCUUGUGCAAGGCAGGACCUCGUGCAGCACCAAACCUUGUGCAAUGGGGGGCCUUGUGCAACACCAGUGCUCGUGCAACGUGGGCCUUGUGCAACACCGGUCCUUGUGCAAGGCAGGACCUCCUGCAGCACCAAACCUCGUGCAACGGGGGGCCUUGUGCAACACCAGACCUUGUGCAACGCGGGGCCUCGUGCAACACACCCUCGUGCAGCUGCAAAACGUGUGAGAGGCACAAACACUCCGCGGCUCCGUGCAACACGGGGCCUUGUGCAACGGACACGUGCAACGUGCAGCUGCCCUCACACUCGGACUCGUGCUCGGGCCUCGUGCGCCUCGGACUUGUGCACGCCGUGCAACGGACUUGUGAGGUGCGGGGCCUCGUGCAAGAACUUCGUGUGAUGCAGGGCCUUUUGCAACUGUAUUGUGCAACACAGGGACUUGUGCAACGCUAUGGUGCACGCGGGGUCUUGUGCAACGCUAUGGUGCAACAGGGGGUCUUGUGCAAGGCAAUGGUGCAACAACACUGGGCCUUGUGCAGCUGUAUUGUGCAACACAGGGUCUUGUGCAAGACAAUGGUGCAAUGCUGGGCCUUGUGCAACUGUAUCAUGCAACGCGGGGUCUUGUGCAAGGCAAUGGUGCAACAUGAGGUCCUGUGCAAGGCAAUGGUGCAACGCUGGACCUUGUGCAACACUAAGGUGCAACAUGGGGUCUUGUGCAACUGUAUUGUGCAACACAGGGUCUUGUGCAAGGCAGUGGUGCAACAGGGGGUCUUGUGCACGGCAAUGGUGCAGCAGUGGGCCUUGUGCACCUGGAUUGUGCAACACAGGGCCUUGUGCAACACUGGAGUGCCACAUGGGAUCGUGUGCAACGCAGUGGUGCACCCUCAUAGUGCAAAGCAGAUCCUUGUGCAACACCCCCAUGAAAGACCAGGCCUUGCACGGUGUCCUCGUGCAACAGCAGGUGGAUACACGGGGCCUCGUGCAAAGGCCUCGUGCAGCGACGUGCGGUGAAAGGCGCCCUCGUGCAAUGCCCUCGUGCAACACGGGGGCUCUUGUGCAAAGGCAUUGUGCAAAGGUGGGUCUUGUGCGACGCCAUCGUGCAAUGGUGCGGUUACAGAGUGCCUCGUGCAACCCUGCGGUGCAAAAUGCACGCUUGUGCAAAGGCCUCGUGCAACGGGCUGGCCUCUUGGAGAGGCUUCGUGCAACACCGGGCCUUGUGCAAUGCUCCUUGUGCAAUGGUGCGGUGGUGCAGGAGGCCUCGUGCAACACUACAGGGUAUUCGUGCAAAGGCCUCGUGCAGCAGCCGACUGUGGGAUCUGCCUCGUGCAAAGGCCUUGUGCAACGGCUUGUGCAACACUACAGAGGAAGCGGAGCUCUUGUGCAAGGCUCUCGUGCAACAGCGUGAAGCACACGUGAUGCAGCUGCAAGGAGUGGAUCCUUGUGCAACAGGAUGUGCUAGUGCAAGGGCUGGGUCAUCGUGCAACGGCCUGCUGCACCAGCCCUUGUGCAAGAGAUGGGCCCUUGUGCAACAGACCCGUGCAACAUCCCUGUGCAAGAGGUGACCCCUUGUGCAACACACUUGUGCACCACACCAUACCUGUGCAAGAGGCGGCCCUUUGUGCAAUGGACUUGUGCACCACUGCUUGUGCAAGAGGGCACGCUUGUGCACAGCUGCUUGUGCAAGAGGACUCCCAAUGUGCAACAGCCUUGCACUACACUCGUGCACCACCCCUCGUGCAACACUCUUACACACCACCCCUUGCACAACACCCCGUGUGCACCACCCCUCGUGCAAGAGGAGCCCCCUCGUGCAAAUGCCUUGCACACCACCCCUUGUGCAACGCCCUUGCACACCACCCCU
rnacentral:lncRNA from 1 species